UGCAAAGGCCCUUUGAGGAAGUAACAUGUGAUCCAAACCUAAGUGACAAGAAGGGGUAGGUCAUGUGAAGGCAGAGAACAGAUCAUAGCAAGGAACCUGCUUAUUUUACAUGAAAGAACUCCUAUUUUCUGCAUUGUAUCUUUAGGAAAAUCCACAAUUAGAAUAUAUUUCAUCCAUGUAUCUCAAAACAUAAUUUUUAGUGCAAGAGAGAAUUGUCUAACCCCUUCAUCUUCCAGAUCGGAAGACAAAGGCACUGACUUACCCAAGUCCCUGUCAGUGACCUUCCAGGACCCAGACUAUCAGGCGAGGGUGGCCUUCUACAUUAACUGCUUGGAAGCAAGCCUUCCCACUUCUUUUCUUGAGAUGACUUAUUUCACUACAAGAAAUUUGUGAUAUAGGCAUAAUGAACCAUUUGCCCAAGGCUUAAUAUAAAGAAUUAGUGCCAUUAGCACCAUGGAGAUAAGAAUUUGA
rnacentral:lncRNA from 1 species